rnacentral:rRNA from 1 species
AACGAACGCUGGCGGCAUGCCUAACACAUGCAAGUCGAACGAGACCUUUGGGUCUAGUGGCGCACGGGUGCGUAACGCGUGGGAACCUGCCCUUAGGUUCGGAAUAACUCCCCGAAAGGGGUGCUAAUUCCGGAUAAUGUCUUCGGACCAAAGAUUUAUCGCCUUUGGAUGGGCCCGCGUUGGAUUAGCUAGUUGGUAGGGUAAAAGCCUACCAAGGCGACGAUCCAUAGCUGGUCUGAGAGGAUGAUCAGCCACACUGGGACUGAGACACGGCCCAGACUCCUACGGGAGGCAGCAGUGGGGAAUAUUGGACAAUGGGCGAAAGCCUGAUCCAGCAAUGCCGCGUGAGUGAUGAAGGCCUUAGGGUUGUAAAGCUCUUUUACCCGGGAUGAUAAUGACAGUACCGGGAGAAUAAGCUCCGGCUAACUCCGUG